ensembl:lncRNA
CAGCCUGCGCCCCGCGCUCACUCCCACUGACCCCGGGGCCCCUGGCCACCGCACGCUCCUUUCUGCGCUGCGUUCUCAGAGGAAAAGGCGGGAAGGGAGGCGCGAGGAGUUGGCUGCAGCCCUGGAGGGAGACCCUAGGUGUGGGGGCCAGAACAGGAGCGAUGACACUUGGACUCUACCAAAUUUAGAGACGCCCAACUGUGCUUUUACUCCGCCACGUGUCCUAGCUUUGCACUGACCUUUCCCCUCCCCGGAGAAAGAGUGGGCCUGGCACCAGCCUUUGCUCAACCCCUCCCAUGGAAAGUGCCCGCCUGCCUCCCUUUCCCUUGCCCUGUGCUAGUCAGUCCCUCCCUCCUGACCCGAUCCUAGUCCCUAAUAGCUUAUCCAUUUAGGAGCUUGGAUGUCUGCUGGUUGCAUCCCCAGCUCUUCCUCCCUUUGAAAAUCUACAAAAUGGUUCAGAAGACGUUGGCAGCUGUGAAUUUGAGGACUUGAGCCGUGUUCCUGAUUUUAUACAGAUACCCUUGGGGGUAUGGCUCAGGGGUAGAGCAUUUGACUGCAGAUACCAUGGCUCCGUAUAUAAAGGACAUUCACUAAAAUGCAAAAUCCAUCAGCUGGAACCAAAAUGUUGGUAAGAGUAGAAAGAAGGAAACUCUGUAAAGAUCUGUUACCACAGAUAUGGAGAGUGGGAAGAAAUUGCCAGACACCAUUAACAGGCCUUGCAGGACACCUCACUGAAUGUGAUGCUCAGAGUAUUGGUGGAAAAUUCAUAAGCUGGGAUUGGAUGCCAGACUGGUAGGUUAUCAACACAUGUAUAUAUAAAGUUUAUAUAGCACUUACAUUUUAGAAAUUUUAUUAUGUAUAUAUUAAAUUGUAUUUCAUUAUUUUCUUAAUUUAUAUUGUUUAUUUGCAUUAUAUAUUGUUUUCAUAUUGUGAUACACAAACUAUAUAUCCUAGCCAUCAUUAUCUUAUUAGGAUCCAGAGCUAAGUUUCAAGAGAAUUCUUUUUGGCACCUUAAAAAUCAUAUUUCCCUGAGAUAAUAUACAAUAUUUUAUAUUACUAUUAUUAUGGUCUCUGGUUUCUUAUUAAGCUGACCUUUGUACCUGUUAAUGAGUUGAAUUGUGUCCCCCAAAGAUAUGUUCAAAUUCUAACUCCCAGGACCUUAGAAUGUUACCUUAUUUGGAGAGAGGGUCUUUACAGAGAUAGUCAAGUCAAAAUGAGAUCAUUACAAUAGGCCUCAAUCCAAUAGGAUUGGUGUUCUGAUAAAAAAAAAAAAAAAAGAAAUUUGGACAAAGAAAAAGACACACACAGAGGGAAGACAAUGUGAAGACACACAGAGAGAACAACAUGUAAAGACAGGACUGGAGUGAUGCAUCUAUAAACAAAGUAACACCAAAGAUUGUUGACAAACCACCAGAAGCUUAGGAAGGAAAGGAAGGAUUUUUCCCUAGAGCUGUCAAAGAGAACAUGGCCCUGCUCGUCUACACCUCAAUUUCAAACUAAUAGCCUCCAGAACUGAGAUAGUACAUUUCUGUUGCUUUAAGACACCCAGAGUUUGGUACUUUGUUACAAUACCCCUAGGAAAAUAAUAUAGUGCCUAAAAUAGAGUCUCUCUGUUUAAGGACAAAAUAUACUAAAUAUGUAUUACUGGAACCUUGUAUAAAUAUAUAUCUAAAUAUACACUGGAACCUUGAAAUACCAGGACCCUAUUCCAUCCAGGGCUCUGCUGUGAGAAGGUUCUUGGUCCCAACUCUAAGAAGCUCCUGUAACAAGAGCCAGCUUACCAAUGUGAAACUUACAAUACAUAGGCCUUUGCCUCUAGUAACAAUUAGGGAUCUAUACAUGACAUUCCAGACCCCAGUCUAGACAGUGGUCUUUCCAGUCUUGUCUCCCAUUCUUUCCCUGAUCCUUGUCCAGAGCCAAGCAGGUGCUAUCACUCUUCUCCUCCUCUUUGGCUGUCAUAUGGUACCAGACUAGUAGGAAGCAAUAAAUACAUGAGGGUUACAAGCA